GGGGAGCUUGAAAACAGGUGCUGCACGGCUGUCGUCAGCUCGUGUCGUGAGAUGUUGGGUUAAGUCCCGCAACGAGCGCAACCCUCGUCCUUAGUUGCUAGCAGUUCGGCUGAGCACUCUAAGGAGACUGCCUUCGUAAGGAGGAGGAAGGUGAGGACGACGUCAAGUCAUCAUGGCCCUUACGCCUAGGGCUACACACGUGCUACAAUGGGACAUACAAAAAGAUGCAAUAUCGCGAGAUGGAGCCAAUCUCUAAAAUGUCUCUCAGUUCGGAUUGUAGUCUGCAACUCGACUACAUGAAGCUGGAAUCGCUAGUAAUCGUGAAUCAGCAAUGUCACGGUGAAUACGUUCCCGGGUCUUGUACUCACCGCCCGUCACACCAUGGGAGUUGUAUUCGCCUUAAGUCGGGAUACUAAAUUGGUUACCGCCCACGGCGGAUGCAGCGACUGGGGUGAAGUCGUAACAAGGUAACCGUAGGUGAACCUGCGGUUGGAUCACCUCCUUUCUAGA
rnacentral:rRNA from 1 species